ACAGAUCAGUAUAUUGUCAGAUAUACCCAUACCGUAGGAGUUUAACCUGUUGCUAAGACUGAUAUCAAGCAGGAUUUAAAUCUUUUCUUUCUACCUAUUGAAAGUAUACAGGACCUUAUCAUAUUGGAUGUGGUGUUGCCUCUACUAAGUUUACCAUCUGUUACAGUAUGAGAAAAAAACUUAUACUGAGCUUAAAAGUAAAUGUUAACCUUUGAGAAAAAGGUUGAAUCAUCGAUUUGUUUGAAUGAAUCUCACCUUCCCCUGUUUGAGUGGAUGAAGUUAGGGAUUCACCUCCGAACGGAAUGAAUGAUUCAAGUUGCUUUCCUCCUUUCAACUGUGGGUGAGAAUUAUUUUCGUUUCUCAUGUCGAAAUAUUUUGGAUGGAAAAAAAAAUUCAUGAUUUGUUACUACAAGACUCAACCACCUGUUGUUCAUUGGUUUAGUGGUCCAUGGAUGUACUUGUAAACAUGUGGUCCAACCGUUUAUCACCUCAUAAUUAGUGGGUGAUUGAGAUGUGAGGAUUACAUGAAUAAGCUGUUACCGUAAAUCUCUGUGCAAGGAUAUUAAUUCUCCUAAUUGGAGACAAUCUGAACUCGGAACCAAUUUGAAAAAAAAAAAUAAUAUGAGGUUGCAUGUCCUUGUCAGAGUGUUGUUUGUCUCUUUUUUAGGGAAAACAAAGGAAAGGCAUAGUCUCCUUUAUGCAAGCCAAGAUUGAGCUUCCAAGUAGUUGUCUAUGUGAAGGAACCUUUUCUGGGCUGUGGCUUGUCACUUCAGUACACUUAUUUUAGACCCUUCAACUCUCACCAUUCAUCAGAAGCAAUUACUACUUUGUAUUUGGGGUCUGAGAUGAUGCAGUUAAUCACCAAGUAGAUUAAGUGGUUUUAUCUUUUCUUAAACAAAGCAUUAAAGUUUAAGUAUCUUUUCUUAUGUUGGUACAGUUUCACAGCUGCAUCUGAAAUGUCCCUCUACCAUCGCCUCUUAUCAUGAUCAGUGGUCCAUCAUCAUCUCAUGUCAGUCCCAUAUGACAUCUCCACAUGUGAGGUUCAUAUGAGUGGAGAAUUGCGACCACAGAUGAGGUUGAUGUAAUGGUUGAUAUCGAGAAGUUGGAGGGAUGCAUGAGACCGCAAAAGUAGCUUUAUAUAGGUGACAAAUGGUGGCAACAGUAUGUAGAUGAUGGAGACAAUAACUAUUGAUUCUAGUUCGUGAACAUAAAUUUAACGGAAGCACAAAUUCACGCAUACACACGACAAAAAAUUCAGUUUGUAAGUACUGGACCUUCAGGUUUGGUUUGGAUUAUACUUUAUGCUGUGAAUAUUAUCUCUUCUGUCAUAUUUAUUCUAUGACUUGUUUCUAUUUUGCUAUUUCAUUUCACUUCUUACGAAAUGACAAUAUUAUUUUUUUCAUUUUUCUCAAGAAAAUGGAUCGGUCAUGGUUACCAGGAGAAAAAUGCAGAUUCCCAUAGCAGACUUGACUGAAUUCUUCAUGCUGCUACUGCCUUUUGAUCACUGUUUAGAGGCAAAGUGCUAUGGACGCAGAGGAUCAUAACAUGGCAUGGAUCCAUCAUGCACUCUGCUUUCAUCAUGUUGAGCUUCAGCAAUUAAGAUAAGAAUGGGCAACAUAGAGCACAUCCACUUGCGUGAUGAUUGUGCUCUUGAUGCAACUAGAUUGAGGAUGAUGCUACAAAGAUGCGCUGGUGCACCUAUAUGAUGUUAAUAUAACACUGCACCAAUAUGAUCAUGGAUGAUCAUCCACCACGUUGAUACAUCAGCACCAAAAGACCAAAUUCAUCUUGCUGAUCUUGAUGUGAUUUUGGUAGUAGUCUUGCAGAGCAUCCUCUUCUUUCUUAAUAGACCUCUAGAUAAGCGGUCAAGGACAUUGUUUCAACAUAUGACCAAAACAGCUCAUCUUGAAAAGAUUCUGGGUAUGAAUCCUUGUGCAAGUGGUGUUGGAGUACUCUACUUGAAUAAAUUAUUCAGGUGGAUUGUCCUUUCAGUCUUACAUUCUCCUACCUUCCAAGCUGUCCGGCUAGUUGAAUGAAAGAUUGAUUUGGCCUAAUUGAAUUCAGUAAGUUGGAGGAGCAGGAUUGAGGUGGUUUGUCAAGGAUGCAGGCUCAUCGUGUAUGGCGGAGUGACAUGAAUACAGAGACUCAUGACAUGGCAUCGGAACCACCAUCAACUCUGUUUUCAUAGUCUUGUGUCCUUGCUGAAUCUACAUCAAGAAUGCUGCUACAAUUUUGUGCUGGUGCACGUAUUUGAUCAUAAUGUAGCACUGCUCCAAUAUGAUUAUGGACGAGCACCGACACUAUCCAUCACCACCGAUGGACCGCAUUCAACAGGAUGAUGUGAUUUUGGUGGUAACCCAUCCUUUUCUUUGUUGGUGCACCUCUAAAUCGGCAGCCAGAGUGGAAAUGAGCAUCCAGUCCAGGUUCUACUUCCAUUCCUCUCUCUCUCUCUCUCUCUCUCUCUCUCUCUCACAUUUGUUUGUUUGAGGCUCUUCUAGUUUAAGACCUCGAUUAGCAAUGCUGAUAACAGCUCAUCUUGAAGAGAAUGGUGUCUUGUUGUUGGAGUCAAAUAAUAUAUUCAGGUAAAUGAUCCUCCACACUUUGUUUCUUUCUUUCCCUCGCACGUACGCAAAAGAUUAAAUGCUGAUGCUUAGACUAAU